rnacentral:lncRNA from 1 species
GCUCCUACAAGGGUACUUCUAGAUCAUUAAAUAAGUAUUCUGAUGCAUUAAUUAUAAUGGAAACAUAAAAUAAAUAGAUCUCUGAAUCACUAUUAAUAAUUAUAUAAAAUUCUCAAUCCCACAUACAAAUAGUAACAUUCUGGGGUUUGAUAUAUCUUCCAAAACGACCGAACAAAAGACCAUCGAUCUGGUUUAUAUUCUGUGUGUUAUUAUCAUUAUCAGUAAAAAAAUAUUCCACAUCGAUCUUCAUCUCAAUAUAUAGUUCAGUUUAUUUAAUUUUCAGCAAAUGAACCUUGAAGUACAAAGAAAACGUAAGCAUAAUCAAACGGAAAAUUCUACCAAUCAUACAAAACAUCCCGAUACGAGAAACAAAAGGGUCAGAAACUCAAUAGUUGUUCGUGAAAAUCCUUCUGAAAUCUUUCAGAUGGGUUAAACUUCUCUAGAACUUCAAGAACUUGUGACAUACUACACAUUCAAUAUCGUUCUUCUCAUAUCCAUGUGAUCGUUUCCAGACAAGUAAUCUCAGAUAUUAAACUGUAACCAACACCAUGAGAUAGAUCUAACAGAAAAUUCGAAUUUAAUUAACAUAAGCUCUAAACAUUGAAGGGAUGAUGAUCAUAUAUCAUUCCAAUCACUAAACACAAUACAUAGAUAUACGAGAGAGUUCAUACAAAGAAGGAAAGUUAUAAAGUUAUAAAAACCACAAUAUAUUAGUAGUCCAGCUAAACAAAAAAGAUAACAAACUCACAAACUGUUCACUUUUGAUCACUUUUCAGAUACAACUUUUCAGAUACAACAACAAAAGAUAAACCCUAGAUACGUAAACAUGAAAGGAAAGAAACCCACCUGAAGGAAAACGGUUUACAAAAGGAAACAAUAAAGUAGAGUAGAGAAAUCAACUUGCUUGACGAAGCAAGUUAAUUAUAAUGAUCGGACCACGACGCUUGAUUCCCCAGAAAGAGAGAGAUGAAAAAGAAGGAAGAGAGAGACCGGUGGCAGCAGCAGCAGCAGCAGUAUAGUAGUAGUAGAUUUUAGUUUCUUAUUGGUUCCAUGAGUUUGAGUUUGGUGGUGGUGGUGAUGAGAAGGUGGAGAAGAAGUAAUAAUGAUGACGGUGGAUUUAGGUUCGUGGGGUGGUUGAGGGCUAAGGAGAAAAGAAGGGAGAAGGUGAUGAUGAUGUGGGCACAAUGAUGGCGAUAGAGAAGAUAGCAGAGGGACAUGAUGAUUUCUGGCGUUGAAACAGAGGCAGAAGAGGUUCAAGGAUGUUUAUGUUAUUGUUCUCUCUCUCUCUCUUUAUCAAUCUCUGACAUGGUGGAGAGUGGAUCCAUUUAUGAAACCUAUAUCAGCUAUCUACUACACAGUAAUCUAUUCUAUGCCGCUGUAAAGUCAAUUAAAUAAUAAUCUCAUUCUGCAUAAUUCUCUCUGCCAACGUGCCUAUGUUGCACACACUUUCCUACACAACCACAACUAUUUUAUCUUCCCUUACCUUUUCCAUGCCUGCAAAAUAACACACCUUAUUAGCCUCUGUAACAUUCUUUAUGUAUAU